rnacentral:rRNA from 1 species
CGGCGGACGGGUGAGUAACACGUGGAUAACCUACCUAUAAGACUGGGAUAACUUCGGGAAACCGGAGCUAAUACCGGAUAAUAUAUUGAACCGCAUGGUUCAAUGUGAAAGACGGUUUUGCUGUCACUUAUAGAUGGAUCCGCGCCGCAUUAGCUAGUUGGUAAGGUAACGGCUUACCAAGGCAACGAUGCGUAGCCGACCUGAGAGGGUGAUCGGCCACACUGGAACUGAGACACGGUCCAGACUCCUACGGGAGGCAGCAGUA